rnacentral:pre_miRNA from 1 species
AAUAGAUGACGCCGCUGAUUUUUUCUCACAUGUUUGACCAUUCGUCUUAUUCAAAAAAUUUACGUAAUUAUAAUUUAUUUUAUUAUAAGUUAUUUUAUCAUUCAUAGUACUUUAAAUGUGAUUUAUAUCUUAUAUAUUUACCAUAAAAUUUUUGAAUAAGACGAAUGGUCAAACAUGUGAGAAAAAGUCAACGGCGUCAUCUAUU